rnacentral:rRNA from 1 species
UUGGUUAUUAGGCAAUGUGGUGUUUAGGUUGUUCCGCAGAGACACUGCUCCUCUCUAAGUCCAUCAAUGAGUACGGUUGUACUGACAUGGCCCAAGGAGGGUGAAAGGCCCGUAAGAGUGGAGUUGUGGCAUGACAGUGUCUCUCUGGAUCGACCUUGGAGUCGGGUUGUUUGGGAAUGCAGCCCAAAGCGGGUGGUAAACUCCAUCCAAGGCUAAAUACAAGCACGAGUCCGAUAGCGAACAAGUACCGUGAGGGAAAGUUGAAAAGUACUUUGAAGAGAGAGUAAACAGUGCGUGAAACCGCUUAGAGGUAAACGGGUGGAGUUGAACUGCAAUCUCUGAGAAUUCAGCUGGGGAAUUUUGCUUGAGCUUGGUCAAUUGGGCAGGGCCUCGAGGUAUGCUUAUCUGCAUGUUCUGAUCUUCGGGUCGGGAUGCGCGUUGCUCUUAUCAAGGGCUGUGCGCCUCGGGUGUCAUGCUGGCUCAUUCGCCAGUGCACUUUCUUGGAGUGAUCAUCACGACCGGCGCUGCUGCUGGGCUGUUAUAGUUAAACCGGGCAUUCUUCGUCCUUGUGGCGUUGGGUGUACGACACGGCAGGUAACUGGGAUCUUGCUUCGGCUUGUUUCUUGGUGUAUGUCGGCUUUAAUGGUUCUAUGCGGUGUGUCGGAGACGGCGGCUUGUGGUGUGUGCAUGCGUGUCUAUCUGUUGGCGCAUUCUAGUUUGGUAGCUGUGUGCUUGUUCAAGCAGGCCCAGUUAUGGCUGGAGUGUGUCAGUGGGUGGUUGCGUGUGUGACACUUUUCAGGGCCAAUAGUCUG